UAAGGAAUAUUGGGCAAUGGUCGCAAGACUGAUCCAGCCAUGCCGCGUGCAGGAAGACGGCCCUAUGGGUUGUAAACUGCUUUUGUACCAGAGAAAACCUAUCUACGUGUAGAUAGCUGAUAGUAUGGUAAGAAUAAGCAUCGGCUAACUUCGUGCCAGCAGCCGCGGUAAGACGAAGGAUGCAAGCGUUAUCCGGAUUCAUUGGGUUUAAAGGGUGCGUAGGCGGGCUUGUAAGUCAGUGGUGAAAUCUCUCAGCUUAACUGAGAAACUGCCAUUGAUACUGCGGGCCUAGAGUAUAGAUGACGUUGGCGGAAUAUGACAUGUAGUGGUGAAAUACUUAGAUAUGUCAUAGAACACCGAUUGCGAAGGCAGCUAACGAAACUAUAACUGACGCUGAGGCACGAAAGUGCGGGGAUCAAACA
rnacentral:rRNA from 1 species